UACAGAGGGUGCAAGCGUUGUUCGGAAUUACUGGGCGUAAAGGGCGUGUAGGCGGUUUAGCAAGUCAGAUGUGAAAUCCCGGGGCUUAACUCCGGAAGUGCAUUUGAAACUGCUAGGCUAGAGUGCAGUAGAGGAUGGUGGAAUACCCAGUGGAGAGGUGAAAUUCGUAGAUAUUGGGUGGAACACCGGUGGCGAAGGCGACCAUCUGGGCUGCAACUGACGCUGAGGAGCGAAAGCGUGGGGAGCGAACAGG
rnacentral:rRNA from 1 species